rnacentral:lncRNA from 1 species
CAUUAGUCCUGAUGGUCUCAGGUCUCAUUGGUCCUGAUGGUCUCAGGUCUCAGUGGUCCUGAUGGUCUCAGGUCUCAGUAGUCCUGAUGGUCUCAGGUCUCAUUGGUCCUGAUGGUCUCAGGUCUCAGUCGUCCUGAUGGUCUCAGGUUUCAGUAGUCCUGAUGGUCUCAGGUCUCAUUGGUCCUGAUGGUCUCAGGUCUCAGUAGUCCUGAUGGUCUCAGGUCUCAUUGGUCCUGAUGGUCUCAGGUCUCAGUAGUCCUGAUGGUCUCAGGUCUCAUUAGUCCUGAUGGUCUCAGGUCUCAGUGGUCCUGAUGGUCUCAGGUCUCAUUGGUCCUGAUGGUCUCAGGUCUCAGUAGUCCUGAUGGUCUCAGGUCUCAUUAGUCCUGAUGGUCUCAGGUCUCAGUAGUCCUGAUGGUCUCUGAUCCUGGACUCUGUUAACCCCUUAUUUCCAGGUUGGGGGUGUUACAGCUUUGGAGACGGACUGAACCAACCUGGACCAGAGAGGAGGACAGAGACCAGCAGGUUUACAG